CGGAAGUAAAGGCGGGGCGCCGGGUACCUCCCCAGGCGAUCCCUGGUGCGCUUACCCCAGGGCGAGGGACUGGUCCAGCCAAUGAAAACAGGGAUCUGACCGGGCACACCUUUCAAAGAGACCUGGAGCCAGCGUUAACGGAAUGCUUGGAGGGGGUCCUCUAAAGUCCAAGGUGCUGUCUGGAUGUUAGGCUGGGGGCAGUGACCUGGUGUGAAGGUUGCAGGUGGGCCUCUAUUUAGAUGGAACCCAAGAGCGGAAGAGGGUUCUGCUGCUGAGAAAACGUUUGGUGAACUUCACUACCCACUCCUGAUUCACUGAACAUGGUCACGGAUAUUCCUUUCAUGGGAUAAAGAAAAUAGUGGCAGACUCGGCAAGGUGGAUAUGACACCAGGAGUUGUGGCAGUCAUGUUGUAACACUGAGGCAGAACACAUGAAAAAGAGGCAAAGUCCUUAUGGAGACAGGGCUUGACAUGGCUGAGCUGUUGAACCUAGGCCAGCAGCUGUCAACUCACAGGCCUCUUGUAAUCUGAGCCAGCUACCUGCUAAAGGAGGGUGGAGAGCCAGGAUCAGAGCUGGAGGAACUGCGAUCUGAAAUGUUUGACAGCCUCGGGCUGGGGCAGCCUUUGGGGCUACUUCACAGACAGCCAAG